UACGUAGGGGGCAAGCGUUAUCCGGAUUUACUGGGUGUAAAGGGAGCGUAGACGGCAGAGCAAGUCUGAAGUGAAAGCCCGCGGCCCAACUGCGGGACUGCUUUGGAAACUGCCCGGCUAGAGUGCUGGAGAGGUAAGCGGAAUUCCUAGUGUAGCGGUGAAAUGCGUAGAUAUAUGGAGGAACACCGGUGGCGAAAGCGGCUCUCUGGCCUGUAACUGACACUGAGGCUCGAAAGCGUGGGGAGCAAACAGC
rnacentral:rRNA from 1 species